rnacentral:rRNA from 1 species
UAGGGAAUCUUCCGCAAUGGGCGCAAGCCUGACGGAGCAACGCCGCGUGUGUGAAGAAGGUCUUCGGAUCGUAAAGCACUGUUGUUAGAGAAGAACGACCGCUAGAGUAACUGUUAGCGGAGUGACGGUAUCUAACCAGAAAGCCACGGCUAACUACGUGCCAGCAGCCGCGGUAAUACGUAGGUGGCAAGCGUUGUCCGGAUUUAUUGGGCGUAAAGGGAGCGCAGGCGGUGACUUAAGUCUGAUGUGAAAGCCCACGGCUCAACCGUGGAGGGUCAUUGGAAACUGGGUCGCUUGAGUGCAGAAGAGGAAAGUGGAAUUCCAUGUGUAGCGGAGAGAUGCGUAGAUAUAUGGAGGAACACCAGUGGAGAAGGCGACUUUCUGGUCUGUAACUGACGCUGAGGCUCGGAAGCGUGGGGAGCAAACAGG